rnacentral:piRNA from 1 species
UNGUCCUACCACUAGAGGGCAUGGUACA